UAGGACAAUAUGAAAUACAUUCCUUACAGCUAAAUAUUGUGUUCCUUAGCAUUUAAAUAGGUUAUUGCAAAAUUAGGUCAACGUCGCGCCAUCAGACGCAAUUAGUGGAUAAAUUAUUUACAAUUAAGGAGACUUUUCAUCAAGUCAAUAUGAGAUUAAAAUUUACGACUCUUUGUUUCCGACGAUUGAAAGUCAACGUUUCAAUUACGUUUUGUUUGAACAUUUCACACAGCGACUACAGGCCAGAGACACCCAAGUACCCAAGUUGAGAUAGAGGGUACACUACCCAGUCCAGUCUCCAGUGAGUUCCAGCUUGGAGAGUGUUAAACAGCUACACGACGAGCAUGUAUGUAGUGGUUCCUUCUUUGUAUUCUACGGCAGCCAAGAGCCAGCUAAGCGCAAAGCUGUCACAUCGUUUAUAUUAACUUAAUUGUUGACACUCCGGCUACAACUACAAGAUCAGCCAUGUAAUAAUACACUAAUUUCGCCUUCGUUUACCAUAUAGUAGUAUAAUUCAUUGUAGGAAAUUGACAAACAAUAAUACCGCUAACACCAGCCACAAUUACAUACAUGUAUGUAAAUGUAUAAAUGUUCAAUCAACUCUACUUCUAUGUUUAUGUAUAUAUAUACUGAUUGUAAGUAUCGCGUCCCGUUGUGUCGAGUCGCGUGCCGUUCGCACGUCUCUUUUUCCGGGAGGCAAUCUGGCGCAUGGCGAACCCCUUCUCUUUUCUUGUAUUAUUAACCAUUUUAUUCAAUUAUUCUUUUAUUUACCUUCAUUGUUUAUUAACGGCAAAUCAAAUGUCUGCAGUUGAUCAAAAUAUUUACUUCUACUAGUAAAAUUACAAUAGUUAAUAUUGGUUUACUGUCUGACGUUUAUAAUAAACAAUAAAGAUCAAAAUAAUUUUCAUACUUAACUUUUUACUUAUAAAACUAAAAACCU